GGCCUGUUAGCUCAGUUGGUUAGACUGCCGUUUAAAUAACGCGGAGGUCAUGAGUUCGAUCCUCUUACGGGCCA
rfam:Daphnia pulex DAPPTscaffold_189_Cont6799, whole genome shotgun sequence.